UUUUCCAAUGACUACUUUUCCAGAAACCAGCGUAGGUUAGCCCAAAACGGGGUGGAGGGGACACAAAAGCCACUAAAUACAAGAAACUACAAGACACAGUGGGCUUCAUUCAUCUGUGUGACAACCAUGUGCAGAAAAUGGUCACCUGAAUAGCUGUUUUGUUCACCUGAAAUAUCCCUGUAUUCUCAAUAUUUUCAAAAUUGUUCUGAUUUAAAUUGUUUCCAUUUUCAUCUUCCCAGCUAAAUGGCUACUUUGAUGAGCAUUUAUUCUCUGCUACAGUUUAAAAAAGUAGAGCUCUUUCAAAUCAGUAAGACAAAGAUGAACUGUUCAGUGAGGAGGAAAUUGAAAAGGACUUGAACAAUCAGUUAACAGAAGAAACACAGAGCUGGAGAUGUAGUUCAGAGGAAUGCCAGUUAAGGGUCUCGGAAACAUGAUCAUCAGCCUUGCUAUUAACCAGCCCCAUUAUCCUCUGCUGAAGAGUUGUUCCAACAGCAGGACAGAGGAAAGAUUCAUCCCCAAAAGGUAGAAGAAAUGGGACUUGGCAUUUGUCCAGGAAAGACAAAUUCAGAGGUCCAGGAAAAAAGGUUUGUUUUGUUCACAGGAUGGAGAUGAGAUACAGGUGUGAAUACCCCCAUUGCAUUGCAAAGAUUCUUUCUGCGAGCUGAAAACAACGAAGGGUUGGCAAGUAGCAACACGACGCAGAAUUCCGCCACAGAUCAGGCAGCAGACGUGACUCAAUGUCAGGGGCUGUGCCAAAACUUUCCGCUAGUAACCUGAGGAUCGCCACGGGCAAGCCGAUUAGAAACUGGUGGUCAACUUAACACCAGCUGAAUUAAAUCAGUAUGCUGCUGACUAUAGACAACCCACCUGAGGAAAGUUGCCAGAGUAAAUAGAGAUGUGGAGAAGAAGAGCUAGGUAUUGUGGGUUUUCCUAUGUAUUGCUGCUUGAGCCACUAGUUCUCCUGGAGGAGCUCGUCAUGACUAGCUUCUCCAGUGUGAGUUUGACCAUUAUCAUUGGAGGAGCUUGGGACCUUGCUGGUGAGAGUGGCUGUGGUUCACUUUGGGGGAGCUCUCGUCCUCACAUCAAGCAUGGCUUCCUGGCUCUGGAGGGGAAGAUGUGUGCUGUUUAAUCUCCAGAAGAAACUUGUCAUGCUGGCUAUCUGGCAUGUACUCAACUGUUCUCAUCAUCAGAAGAGCUCAGGACCUCCACGUAGCUGAGGAUGGCUGUGGUACUUUUCAGGGCAGCCCUGGUCCUUAUUUUAAGCAUUGCUUCUCAGCUCCAGUGUAGAACCCUCAACCUACCCCAACCUACCUUCACCCCACUAGCAUAGACUUUCUAGGUUCCACUGUUGACCUUUGGGCCUUGCCAAUGCAGAUCCAUAAAAUAGACGGGCAUGAGACCUUCUUGUGGGUUCUAGAUCUCCAGCUGGACUUGUGGGAGGCAUUGUCAUGGGCUCUAGGUUUUCAUCUGGACUCAUGAAGGACAUUGCUGGACAAUUCAGGUCCUUGGAUGAAUAUUAUAUGUCUUUAGUAUUGUGGACAGAUUUCCUGCACAUUCUUGUGUUAAC